AGAUCAAUAACUAUCAGUAUAGAAAUGGAAACACCUUGGAAAAUCUGAACAAAAUGAGUGAGAACUCACUACCGUCUCCUCAUCGAAACUGAGGUCC
rnacentral:snoRNA from 1 species